rnacentral:rRNA from 1 species
AUAAGGAGUCGGACCUGCCCAGUGAAUUUAUUUAAACGGCCGCGGUACUCUGACCGUGCAAAGGUAGCAUAAUCAUUUGCCCUAUAAUUGAGGGCUAGUAUGAAUGGUUUGACAAGAAUAAAGCUGUCUCUUUAUAAUUAAUUAGAAUUUUAUUUUCAGGUGAAGAAGCCUGAAUUAAAUUAAAAGACAAGAAGACCCUAUCGAGCUUUAAAUAAAUUAAUAGAAUUAUAGUAAUUAUAGAUUAAAAAAAUUUACUUUAAAUUAUUUUGGUUGGGGCGACAAAGGAACAUAAAAAGCUUCUUUUAUAUAUUUUUAUAACAUACAAGUAUUUGAUCCAAAUAAUUUUGAUUAAAGGAAUUAGUUACCGUAGGGAUAACAGCAUAAUCUUUUUUGAGAGCUCAUAUCGAAAAAAAGGUUUGUGACCUCGAUGUUGGACC